GCCGGAAUAGCUCAGUUGGUAGAGCAGAGGACUGAAAAUCCUU
rnacentral:tRNA from 1 species